rnacentral:rRNA from 1 species
AUGAACGCUGGCGGCGUGCCUAAUACAUGCAAGUCGAGCGAACGGACGAGAAGCUUGCUUUUCUGAUGUUAGCGGCGGACGGGUGAGUAACACGUGGAUAACCUACCUAUAAGACUGGGAUAACUUCGGGAAACCGGAGCUAAUACCGGAUAAUAUUUUGAACCGCUUGGUUCAAAAGUGAAAGACGGUCUUGCUGUCACUUAUAGAUGGAUCCGCGCUGCAUUAGCUAGUUGGUAAGGUAACGGCUUACCAAGGCAACGAUGCAUAGCCGACCUGAGAGGGUGAUCGGCCACACUGGAACUGAGACACGGUCCAGACUCCUACGGGAGGCAGCAGUAGGGAAUCUUCCGCAAUGGGCGAAAGCCUGACGGAGCAACGCCGCGUGAGUGAUGAAGGUCUUCGGAUCGUAAAACUCUGCUAUUAGGGAAGAACAUAUGUGUAAGUAACUGUGCACAUCUUGACGGUACCUAAUCAGAAAGCCACGGCUAACUACGUG